CCUACGGGAGGCAGCAGUAAGGAAUAUUGGGCAAUGGACGCAAGUCUGACCCGGCCAUGCCGCGUGGAGGAUGAAGGUCCUCUGGAUUGUAAACUUCUUUUAUUUGGGAAGAAACCCGAUUUUUCUAAGUCGGUUGACGGUACCAGAUGAAUAAGCACCGGCUAACUCCGUGCCAGCAGCCGCGGUAAUACGGAGGGUGCAAGCGUUAUCCGGAUUCACUGGGUUUAAAGGGUGCGUAGGCGGGCAGGUAAGUCAGUGGUGAAAUCUCCGGGCUUAACCCGGAAACUGCCGUUGAUACUAUCUGUCUUGAAUAUCGUGGAGGUAAGCGGAAUAUGUCAUGUAGCGGUGAAAUGCUUAGAUAUGACAUAGAACACCAAUUGCGAAGGCAGCUUACUACGGAUAUAUUGACACUGAGGCACGAAAGCGUGGGGAUCAAACAGGAUUAGAUACCCUGGUAGUCCACGCCCUAAACGAUGGAUACUCGACAUCAGCGAUACACUGUUGGUGUCUGAGCGAAAGCAUUAAGUAUCCCACCUGGGAAGUACGAUCGCAGGAUUGAAACUCAAAGGAAUUGACGG
rnacentral:rRNA from 1 species